rnacentral:lncRNA from 1 species
CACACCGGCAGUUUGUGUGUCUGUGUGACUGUGUGUGCUGUGUGUGUAGUAGCACCAUGCCACUCGCAUGAGAACCCAGAUGCAUGCUCCUCCCAGGCCGCGUUUCACCACCUCUGGGGCUGCAGCCAUGCUGAGAAAGCUGGACUUCUGAGAUACCAGGGAUCAAACUCAGGACCUUGCACUUUCAAUCAAGGCAGGCGUAGCACCACUGAGCUAAAUCCCAGGCCAACAUUUCCUACUCUUAACCUCUGUUGUUCCUAGGAUUCAUCCUUCAGUUUUAGAGAACAUGAACUUGGCGUUAUAGACAUCUAACAGAAUGAACAUCACAGCAAGCCAGUGGUGGAGAGCAGGUCCCAAGGGUCAGGCUCCAUGUCUCUCAGCCUGCUGAAGCCUGAGUCCUCCCUUAGCUGGCUGAGUGGCUGGGUAUUUACACCAAAAGGGGAAAGUAAAUAUUUGGGGGAAGCCUUUGGAGGACCCCAAGGAGGGGACCGGCUUCUCCUGCCUCCCUCGAAGGUCCUCUGAGCUUGAUGAUUGAGAAGCCACCAUGCAUAUCAUCGGCAGAUCUGCAGAGGAGCCUUCAGCUUUGGCUUCUUGGCAACUGGUGGGCUGAAGGGCAGGAUCAGACCAGUGUAGAAAACAGCCCUUUCUCCAUCCCUUCAGGUCCUGUAGGACCAGCUGGGGGAUGCCCUGAGGAUGGGGAUGAGGUGGGGAAGGCUGCUGCAGGUCACCGAAGGAAGCUAAAAUUGGUCUGGAACUGCAGUGUCCUACGCGGCUGCCUAGCACCUAUGGCCACCUCGAGCUUGACCUGCAGCUGCUCCACUGCGAGGUAAAAUACACACCAGAUUUCAAAGGCUUAGCACUGG